CAAGUCGAGCGAGAGCUUCGGUCUCUAGCGGCGGACGGGUGAGUAACACGUGGGUAACCUGCCUCAGACUGGGGGAUAGCCUUCCGAAAGGAAGAUUAAUACCGCAUAAUAUAGUUUAACCGCAUGGUUAGAUUAUCAAAGGAGUAAUCCGGUUUGAGAUGGACCCGCGGCGCAUUAGCUAGUUGGUGAGGUAACGGCCCACCAAGGCUACGAUGCGUAGCCGACCUGAGAGGGUGAUCGGCCACAUUGGAACUGAGAUACGGUCCAAACUCCUACGGGAGGCAGCAGUGGGGAAUAUUGCACAAUGGGCGAAAGCCUGAUGCAGCAACGCCGCGUGAGUGAUGAAGGCCUUCGGGUUGUAAAACUCUGUCUUUGGGGACGAUAAUGACGGUACCCAAGGAGGAAGCCACGGCUAACUACGUGCCAGCAGCCGCGGU
rnacentral:rRNA from 1 species